UACGUAGGGGGCUAGCGUUGCUCGGAAUUACUGGGCGUAAAGCGCACGUAGGCGGCUCUUUAAGUCGGUGGUGAAAUCCUGGAGCUCAACUCCAGAACUGCCUUCGAUACUGUAGAGCUUGAGUUCGGGAGAGGUGAGUGGAACUGCGAGUGUAGAGGUGAAAUUCGUAGAUAUUGGGAAGAACACCGGUGGCGAAGGCGGCUCUCUGGACCGAGACUGACGCUGAGGCGCGAAAGCGUGGGGAGCAAACAGG
rnacentral:rRNA from 1 species